rnacentral:rRNA from 1 species
UGGGGAAUAUUGGACAAUGGGCGCAAGCCUGAUCCAGCCAUACCGCGUGGGUGAAGAAGGCCUUCGGGUUGUAAAGCCCUUUUGUUGGGAAAGAAAUCCAGCCGGCUAAUACCUGGUUGGGAUGACGGUACCCAAAGAAUAAGCACCGGCUAACUUCGUGCCAGCAGCCGCGGUAAUACGAAGGGUGCAAGCGUUACUCGGAAUUACUGGGCGUAAAGCGUGCGUAGGUGGUCGUUUAAGUCCGUUGUGAAAGCCCUGGGCUCAACCUGGGAACUGCAGUGGAUACUGGGCGACUAGAGUGUGGUAGAGGGUAGCGGAAUUCCUGGUGUAGCAGUGAAAUGCGUAGAGAUCAGGAGGAACAUCCAUGGCGAAGGCAGCUACCUGGACCAACACUGACACUGAGGCACGAAAGCGUGGGGAGCAAACAGGAUUAGAUACCCUGGUAGUCCACGCCCUAAACGAUGCGAACUGGAUGUUGGGUGCAAUUUGGCACGCAGUAUCGAAGCUAACGCGUUAAGUUCGCCGCCUGGGGAGUACGGUCGCAAGACUGAAACUCAAAUGAAUUGAC